rnacentral:rRNA from 1 species
AGGGCCUAGGGACGCAGCAGUGAGGAAUAUUGGUCAAUGGGAGAGAUCCUGAACCAGCCAAGCCGCGUGAGGGAAGACGGCCCUAUGGGUUGUAAACCUCUUUUGUCGGAGAACAAAACCCGGGACGUGUCCCGGACUGCGUGUAUCCGAAGAAAAAGCAUCGGCUAACUCCGUGCCAGCAGCCGCGGUAAUACGGAGGAUGCGAGCGUUAUCCGGAUUUAUUGGGUUUAAAGGGUGCGUAGGCGGUCCGUUAAGUCAGCGGUAAAAUUGCGGGGCUCAACCCCGGCCGGCCGUUGAAACUGGCA